rnacentral:rRNA from 1 species
AGGGAAUCUUCCACAAUGGACGCAAGUCUGAUGGAGCAACGCCGCGUGAGUGAAGAAGGGUUUCGGCUCGUAAAGCUCUGUUGUUAAAGAAGAACGUGGGUGAGAGUAACUGUUCACCCAGUGACGGUAUUUAACCAGAAAGCCACGGCUAACUACGUGCCAGCAGCCGCGGUAAUACGUAGGUGGCAAGCGUUAUCCGGAUUUAUUGGGCGUAAAGCGAGCGCAGGCUGUCUUUUAAGUCUAAUGUGAAAGCCUUCGGCUCAACCGAAGAAGUGCAUUGGAAACUGGGAGACUUGAGUGCAGAAGAGGACAGUGGAACUCCAUGUGUAGCGGUGAAAUGCGUAGAUAUAUGGAAGAACACCAGUGGCGAAGGCGGCUGUCUGGUCUGUAACUGACGCUGAGGCUCGAACGCAUGGGUAGCGAAC